rnacentral:rRNA from 1 species
CGAUGGGUAGCCGGCCUGAGAGGGCGAUCGGCCACACUGGGACUGAGAUACGGCCCAGACUCCUACGGGAGGCAGCAGUAGGGAAUAUUGUGCAAUGGACGAAAGUCUGACACAGCAACGCCGCGUGGGUGAUGAAGCUUCUUGGAGUGUAAAACCCUGUCAGUGGGGAAGAACCGUGUAGGGAGUAACUGCCCUAUGCCUGACGGUACCCACAGAGGAAGUCCCGGCUAACUCCGUGCCAGCAGCCGCGGUAAUACGGGGGGGACAAGCGUUGUUCGGAUUUACUGGGCGUAAAGGGCGCGUAGGCGGACCUUCAAGUCGGAUGUGAAACCCGGCGGCUCAACUGCCGGCCUGCAUACGAUACUGUUGGUCUUGAGUACAUGAGAGGAAAGCGGAAUUCCAGGUGUAGCGGUGAAAUGCGUAGAUAUCUGGAAGAACACCAGUAGCGAAGGCGGCUUUCUGGCGUGAUACUGACGCUCAAGCGCGAAGGCUAGGGGAGCAAACAGGAUUAGAUACCCUGGUAGUCCUAGCGGUAAACGAUGGGUACUAGGUGUCGGAGGUAUUGACCCCUUCGGUGCCGCAGCUAACGCAUUAAGUACCCCGCCUGGGGAGUACGGUCGCAAGAUUGAAACUCAAAGGAAUUGACGGGGGCCCGCACAAGCGGUGGAGUAUGUGGUUUAAUUCGAGGCAACGCGAAGAACCUUACCUGGGUUUGACAUGCUUGAGACUGUCGGUGAAAGUCGGCUUUCCCUUCGGGGACUCUUGCACAGGUGCUGCAUGGCUGUCGUCAGCUCGUGCCGUGAGGUGUUGGGUUAAGUCCCGCAACGAGCGCAACCCUUGUCCAUAGUUGCCAUCAGGUAACGCUGGGGACUCUAUGGAGACUGCCGGUGAUAAGCUGGAGGAAGGUGGGGAUGACGUCAAGUCCUCAUGGCCCUUACACCCAGGGCUACACACGUACUACAAUGGUCGGUACAGAAGGUCGCAAUACCGCGAGGUGGAGCUAAUCCUGAAAACCGGCCUCAGUUCAGAUUGGAGUCUGCAACUCGACUCCAUGAAGGAGGAAUCGCUAGUAAUCGCAGAUCAGCACGCUGCGGUGAAUACGUUCCCGGGCCCUGUACACACCGCCCGUCAAGCCACGGAAGUUGGGAGCACCCGAAGUCGUUUGCCUAACCGUAAGGAGGGCGGCGCCUAAGGUGAUACUAGCGACUGGGGCUAAGUCGAAACAAGGUA